UACGUAGGCGGAAAAUUAAGUCAGUAGUGAAAUCCUGCAGCUUAACUGUAGAACUGUUAUUGAUACUGGUUUUCUUGAAUAUAGUUGAGGUAGGCGGAAUGUGUAAUGUAGCGGUGAAAUGCUUAGAUAUUACACAGAACACCGAUUGCGAAGGCAGCUUACUAAGCUAUGAUUGACGCUGAGGUACGAAAGCGUGGGGGACUAACAGGAUUAGAUACCCUGGUAGUCC
rnacentral:rRNA from 1 species